rnacentral:rRNA from 1 species
AACGAACGCUGGCGGCAUGCCUAACACAUGCAAGUCGAACGAGACCUUCGGGUCUAGUGGCGCACGGGUGCGUAACGCGUGGGAACCUGCCCUUAGGUUCGGAAUAACUCCCCGAAAGGGGUGCUAAUACCGGAUAAUGUCUUCGGACCAAAGAUUUAUCGCCUUUGGAUGGGCCCGCGUUGGAUUAGCUAGUUGGUAGGGUAAAAGCCUACCAAGGCGACGAUCCAUAGCUGGUCUGAGAGGAUGAUCAGCCACACUGGGACUGAGCCACGGCCCAGACUCCUACGGGAAGCAGCAGUGGGGAAUAUUGGACAAUGGGCGAAAGCCUGAUCCAGCAAUGCCGCGUGAGUGAUGAAGGCCUUAGGGUUGUAAAGCUCUUUUACCCGGGAUGAUAAUGACAGUACCGGGAGAAUAAGCUCCGGCUAACUCCGUG